CGGGACCCGCUCGGGGCAGCCGGGGGAAGGUGCGGAACGGACAGAACGCUGCAGACAGACAGCCCCGGCAAGGGGGAAAGGCCGCGGGGCCGAGGCGUCCCCCAGCUGCAGCGUCUCCAGAGCUCAGGGACAGCAGGAGCUGCUGCCCCUCAGAGCUCGGGUGCUCUGGCAGCGCUGGAGACACGGCUGAGCAGCGGCCUCAGAAGCCCCAAAGGGGCUCCAAGAGCCAAGGACAGAGACUUUGGACAAGGGCCUGGAGUGACAGGACACAGGGUGUCCAGCACUGCCCAGAUGCCUCAGGGUGACACACGGGGCCCUGGUUCAGGUUUCCAGACAGUGGCACCAGGUCAGGAGAGGGUGACCUGCUCUGGGAAUGCACCUGACUCCUGUGACAGCACCAUCAUCCACAUACCAGAAGAAUGAAACAGUGACUGAAAACAUCCACCAAGUGCCUGUGAGCAGGGUUGCACAGACCACAGCUUUAUUUCACAAGAAAAAGUUGGAACUCGGGUUUGAUCUUACCAAAGGAGCCUCUGUGAACUUCUCAGGUGUAAAUUCCCUUGUCUUAUCUUUGAAUAUUCAUUUCAGAGAAGUCAAAUGAUAGAAGAGGUGGGCAAAGUAUACCCAGGAGUAAAAUAUUGCCAGUUUCUGUCAGCAGGGAACUUUCUGUCCAGUGCAGUUAAUCCUGACCAUCAUCCAGCAGCUUCCCCAGUAAAAUUGUAGGGUUGGGUUCAUUUAUUAAGAGUAAAAAAGAAAAAUAAAAAAGCCAAAAGGUGGAGAAGCCCAAGUUUAUAACAGCUUGAGGAAACUUCAAUGAGGGUCACAUUUCUGAGUGCAGCAGAAUUCUAUGGAAACUUAAAUUUUGCUUCUGUGUAGAGGAAAACCCUGGGAAAUUCACUAUAAAUCUUUUUUCUUUUGCAUAUUUCCCUUAUUAGUAGAAACACAGUCAUCUAACCGAGGUGUUACAGUCACUCUUUGGAAGGUUCAAUGCAGACUAAUUGAAACCAGGUAAUUAUUAUUGUUGCUGAGGUUGUUGCCAGGCACUUGCCCCACACAGUUGUGGCCUCUGCAGCCUUUCCUGCCCAUCUGGGGCAGAAUUUCAACAUCACAGCAAAACUUUAUGAACUGAAGUUUCACAGAAAUAAAUCCUUGCAGGAUCCAAUUUGGACAGGCUGUUUCUUUCAUCUCCCGAGGCAGUGCUGUGUUCCCAGCAUGGAUGAAAGGGAAUAUUUUCAGGAAUAAAAUCCCCUGGGAUUUCUGUAACCAUGGUAACACAUAUAGAUAGCAGGCCUGCUUCCAACCCAGGUUUUAUUGUUCCAGCAGUAAAGAACUGGGUUCUACAAAUAACCAUCCUGGAAUAAAGUACUGCCCUUUUGCUUUCCCAGCAAAAUAAAAUUUUAAAAAUGUAAUAUAUUGCUACAGUUAAACAUUCAGGAUAAAGUGCCAAGAUCAGCUCUGUCAUAAAUCUAACUGGGAUGUCUUGUUUCCUAAGCCACAGUGAGAAAGGGGAGAGUAUUCAGAUAUUUAAUGAAUACCAGAUAAAUAUGAAUAUUUUUGUAAGAAUAAAUUCAUAUUUCACUGCUGAAUAAAUACCAGAACUUAAGCUUGUAAUAAGAAUUAAAAAAUAAAAAGCAUCCCCAUCAAA